rnacentral:rRNA from 1 species
GAUGAACGCUGGCGGCGUGCCUAAUACAUGCAAGUCGAGCGAACGGACGAGAAGCUUGCUUCUCUGAUGUUAGCGGCGGACGGGUGAGUAACACGUGGAUAACCUACCUAUAAGACUGGGAUAACUUCGGGAAACCGGAGCUAAUACCGGAUAAUAUUUUGAACCGCAUGGUUCAAAAGUGAAAGACGGUCUUGCUGUCACUUAUAGAUGGAUCCGCGCUGCAUUAGCUAGUUGGUAAGGUAACGGCUUACCAAGGCGACGAUGCAUAGCCGACCUGAGAGGGUGAUCGGCCACACUGGAACUGAGACACGGUCCAGACUCCUACGGGAGGCAGCAGUAGGGAAUCUUCCGCAAUGGGCGAAAGCCUGACGGAGCAACGCCGCGUGAGUGAUGAAGGUCUUCGGAUCGUAAAACUCUGUUAUUAGGGAAGAACAUAUGUGUAAGUAACUGUGCACAUCUUGACGGUACCCAAUCAGAAAGCCACGGCUAACUACGUG